rnacentral:tRNA from 1 species
UCCCUGAUGGUCUAGUGGCUAGGAUUCGGCGCUCUCACGCGCGGCGCAGCCCCGGUUCGAUUCCCGGUCAGGGAA